UGGCCGUCUCCCUUAAUGCAAACACGAGGCUUUACCAGGAGCUGGAUGCAGCUAAGGUGUUCAUCUUAACUUUCUUAAGGCCUCAAACAUAGUCCAGCAUCGACGAACCAUCAGUUUGGAAGGGUUACAGAUAUUUAUUCGUGACGACGAGACCAAACUCUUCUUAACAUGUCUGGAUACAGAUCCAGUUGAGAGGGCAACCCGAGGUGUUACGGUGGGCAUCCUCACUGUUCUGGAGGACUAUGUGGGACCCAACUCGCAGUCCACAGUGGUCAACACUGCCAUUGUUUUGGAAGAGGACAUUAUUCUUGAUGAUCUGCCAGACCUUCCCACUGCCUUUGCCUACCUGUUUGGCCUACUUUAUGGGGUCAACAUGGAGUUUCCCAAAGAACUCAAGUACACAUUUGUUUGCUGUAUGGAAACCAGAUAGAAGAGUUCAUAUCCUGCCAUCUGAUGUUUUGAAUCUGUUUGUUAGUGACUAUCAGUCAAGAUAGGUUUGAUAUUCUGUCUGACAAUACCACACCUUUAAAAUUGGAUGAGUAACAUUUGUUACAAAAAUUUGACCUUUUUUUGUUUUUGGAAAAGGACUUUAUUUGUGGCUAAAUGUUGUCAGUAUGUUAAAAAUGGCUCAUCUCAAAACAUUGUCAGUGGUGCAGUUGUGUUUGAACACAAAGUUAUUUGAAAAUCAAAAUUGUGUAAACAUUCAUUAAUACAACAGGGAGCACCUCAUGAAAACUAUAAAGGAUACUUUUUCUAAACUUUAGGAAAUUGAUUGGCAAAACAAAAAAAAUAUGUUGUGUAAACUUUAGGAAUUACAUUGUUAAAACAAUGAAAAAUAUAUUUUGUCAACUUUAGGAAAUACGUUGCCAAAACUAAAACUAAUACCUUGUGUAAACUUUAGGAAAUACAUUGCUAAGACAAUAAAAUAUGAGUUAAGAAAAAGCACAGUUAUUAAUUUUGUAAACACAAAAACAUUAGUUGAAGCAACUUUUCUCCUAAACUUGAAAUUAUAAGUUAUUCAUCAGAACCUAAAAACGUAAAUGCAGUGGGUUGCCUUGAGUUUUUAAGUUUUUGCAACAAUUCUUUUUUUUACAGUGUAUUUUAUUUAGUGCCCUGUGAACUAAUGCCUUUCUUCCAACCAUGUCUAACAAAAACACAUGAAUUUAAAUAAAAUAUCCAUAAAGUAAAGUAGAAAGGAUUGCUUUUGUAUAAUAAAACAGUAAGAAUAGGAGUAAAUUUUGAUUUUGAUAUAUUGGUAUGUCACAAAGUCAUGUAUUAUAUUAGCAAUGAGUAAUAUUGCACUGAAGUUUAUGUUAUUGAGUAAUAAGGGGGCAGAAACUUGGAAUAAUAAUGUGGAAACAUUACUUUAUUAACUUGGUUUUCCAUAUUAUUACCGUCUUGUUUCCACAUUAUUACACCACUAUUAUGGCAUUAUUAUGAAGUUGUAAUAGAAAGGAUUACCAAAGUGUGAAGAAUUAUCAUUGAAAUCAUUUUUUAAAUGUGUUUUGGAGAAGUUUGUCUAAGUUUAUAAGACAUCUUUGAGUUUCAG
ensembl:lncRNA